AAGAUAAAAAGAGAAAGCAAGAAAGAAAGGACGAUAAAUGGAAAGUAUAAAGAGUACUGUCAAGAAGCGAUUUUAUUUGAGCAUGUUGUUCCUCUGUCCCUUCUAUUUUUAUCGUUGUAGGCAAAUCUUCUACCUUAAU
rnacentral:ribozyme from 1 species